rnacentral:rRNA from 1 species
CUACGGGAGGCAGCAGUGAGGAAUUUUCCGCAAUGGGCGAAAGCCUGACGGAGCAAUGCCGCGUGGAGGAUGAAGGCCCGUGGGUUGUAAACUCCUUUUCUUAGAGAAGAAGAUCUGACGGUAUCUAAGGAAUAAGCAUCGGCUAACUCCGUGCCAGCAGCCGCGGUAAUACGGAGGAUGCAAGCGUUAUCCGGAAUCAUUGGGCGUAAAGGGUCCUGAGGUGGCCUGCCCAGUCCGCUGUGAAAGAUCAGGGCUCAACCCUGAAUAUGCGGUGGAAACUAGCAGGCUAGAAUACGGUAGGGGCAGGGGGAAUUCCCGGUGUAGCGGUGAAAUGCAUAGAUAUCGGGAAGAACACCAACGGCGAAGGCACCCUGCUGGGCCGAUAUUGACACUGACAGACGAGAGCUAGGGGAGCGAAUGGGAUUAGAUACCCCAGUAGUCCUAGCCGUAAACGAUGGAUACCAAGUGCUGAACGACUCAAAACGUGCAGUGCUGCAGCUAACGCGCUAAGUAUCCCGCCUGGGGAGUAUGCCCGCAAGGGUGAAACUCAAAUGAAUUGACGGGG